AGAGUUUGAUCCUGGCUCGAGGACGAACGCUGGCGGCGUGCUUAACACAUGCAAGUCGAACGAGGCUUAGGGAAGAGCUUGCUCAGAACUAAGCCGAGUGGCGGACGGGUGAGUAACGCGUGAAUAAUCUGUCCUAUACAGGGGGAUAACGCAUCGAAAGAUGUGCUAAUACCGCGUAGGACCACAGCAUCGCAUGGUGCAGGGGUGAAAGGAGUAAUCCAGUAUAGGGUGAGUUCGCGUCUGAUUAGAUAGUUGGUGAGGUAACGGCCCACCAAGUCAACGAUCAGUAGCCGACCUGAGAGGGUGAUCGGCCACAUUGGGACUGAGACACGGCCCAGACUCC
rnacentral:rRNA from 1 species